UCACUACUGGUAGCAUCUCUGGCUGCUGGUGACCUUGUUUUUGGAGUAAAACACGGUGGAAGCUGAAUUAGUGAGGAUGACUCCUGCUCCUGUCAUCUCUAAGCUCCUCACACAUCUUUACCUGCACAUGAGGAAAAUCACUCCUGUAGAAUGCAGAUGUUCAGAGGGAGAUGAUGCCACAUCUGGUCCAGCCGAUGGAAGGUCUUGAAGUUCUCUGACUGGCCUCGACUGAAGAUGGUCGUCUCACUGGAUUUAAGGUUCAGAUGCUCAGUAACAAACUCCACCAAUGUGCCAACAGUGAAGCUUUAGGUUUAUUAAAUGUUGCUGUGAAGGUUUUGCUGUUUUUCUUGGUGAAUGCAAUGAGCUCCAACUGAAACUUGAAUUAGAACUUAGAAGUAAAUCCUUCCAUCUGAAAGGAUUUAGUUGCAUUAAUAGCCUCAUAACAUUCAAAUUUUUAUUCCAGUCUUAGUUGGAAAUAGAAUCUCUGUAUUGAUUCAGGUAAAAACUGAACUUCACAGCAUGUUGGAGCAAAACAACCAGAUGAAAACUGUGAUGGUGUUGGAUUGUCAGACCGUAAUGUUGCAGCUCAAAGCAGCUUUUCUAGCUCAGUUCAUUGUGACAUUCAGCUAUGAAUCAACACAGCAGAUGGUGAUCCAUGCUGUGGAAGUCUCACAUCUCCUGAUUUAAUGGAGCUGCUUUGCACUUUUUACACUGUUUAUUCACCAACACUUUAUUUAAUAAAAGUCCCAUCUAGUUUUUAUGAGGAAUGUGAUGUUUUAAUUUCUCUGUGAAUAACUGCAGUCUAAUGCAACAGCUGGAGUUGUAACAUCUGUCCUGAUAUUGAUCGUGAAGUAUUGAUCAGAAUACUUAUGGUCAGCAGUCAUCCCUGAAGUUUUACAUUAAAAUCUUGUGUUGUGAACUUUGGUAAGAAGCAGAAACUGUUGCGUUGCCAUGGAUACUUGAGUGUUAAAUUCUGUCCAUGUUUUUAUUUUGGGAAAUGCAGUCCAGUUCCAGAAUGUGGAGGAAUUUAGUCUCAAUCACAGACAACAAAUAUUAUCUGAAAGUCGGGUUAUUGUUGUUUAUCAGCACAAUACAAAAAGAUUAAUGUUAGAAAUAUUCCAGUUAAGACUCUAGAAUAUCAUGAUUUAUGUAAAUUUACCUCAAUAAUAUGAAUGUUCAGGUUAAGAUUGUACAGUGAUAUGUAUUAUGUAAGUUUAGCUGAUUAAAGUUUAGGACUCUGCACUAAAAUAUUAUUUAAAUUGACAUCAUUAUUAUAAUAUUUAGGGUCAGACCCUACAGUAUUGAGAUUAAGAAAUCAAAUAUUCUAUAAAAUGUAAAUACACUGAACUCAUUUGGAUAUAUUUAAGUGAGACUCUACAAUAUUAUUUGACACAAAUCUAUCUAAAUCAAAAUUUUAAUAAUUUUCAUGCCAAACAUUUACUGGACUGAUUUAAACAUUAAAAUCACUCCUUUCUAAUCCUCUGCCGUACGUUCAAACCUGAGGCCUUAAAUAGAAACACACAAGUAUCUGUUUGAAGGAACUUCUGCAGAGUCCUGGUUCCAGAACAUGAUGAUAGAAUUAUAGACAAACUUUAACAAAAGCUGCCUGAGAGUUUACAGGUUUUUAUGUUAGAUUUCUUCAGUAAUUUAAUGAGCGUUAUCGGCAAGUUUCUUC